UACGUAGGGACCAAGCGUUGUUCGGAUUUACUGGGCGUAAAGGGCGCGUAGGCGGCAAAUCAAGUCAGCUGUGAAAUCUCCGAGCUUAACUCGGAACGGUCAGCUGAUACUGUCUUGCUAGAGUACAGAAGGGGCAACCGGAAUUCUUGGUGUAGCGGUGAAAUGCGUAGAUAUCAAGAGGAACACCUGAGGUGAAGACGGGUUGCUGGGCUGAUACUGACGCUGAGGCGCGAAAGCUAGGGUAGCAAACGGG
rnacentral:rRNA from 1 species